rnacentral:tRNA from 1 species
GGGAAGGGAAAGCCGGUGGCUCCGGCAAGCGGCCUGUAAAGCCGCUCUGGCGAAAGCCGGGAGUGGAUCGAAACCACACCUUCCCACCA